GUGUAACAUUAAUAAAGCCUAAAAAAUGUGUUGGUAGUUCGUAAGCUUUUGUCCUCAAAGGAUCCCGGUUAAAGUGUCGGCGGUAACAAAACAGCACCUUUUACUUAAUUUUAUUUUCGUUUGAGAAUAUUCAAAAUGUUCACGGGACAAAUACAUGCGUAAUUUGUGAGACGUCACGCAGUAUAUUUUAUGUGCUUCAUAUUUGUGACGUCACUAAGUAUAUUUCAUGUGCUUCAUUUUUGGGGGCUUUCUUAGUAAUGUACAUGUGCUUCCUUUGUGUGACGUUACUAAGUACGUUACCCUUGCUUCUUGUUUUGGGCGUUACUAGGUAUAUUACGUGUGCUUCAUAUGGGUGACGUCACUAAGUUUAUAACAUGUUGAUCUGCUUCAUUUGUGGGGCGUUACUUAGUAUAUAUCAUGUGCUAAAUGUGUGUGGCGUUACUUAGUUUAUUUCAUGUGCUUCAUUAUUGGUGCGUAACUAGCUAUACAUGUAUUACAUGUGCUUUAUUUGUGGGACGUCAAAAGGUAUAUUACAUAUGCUCCAUGUUUGUGAACUCAUUAUUUAUAUUAUUAACAUGUCGUUCCUAUCUUGUUCAUGGAUUUAUCCGAUGUCUUAACCCCGCGAGAAACUCUAGCAAGAGCUCAGGUGGCAAUGCUUGACAUCGGUCCAGUAUUUGAUGCGCUUCCUUCUGAACCCAGGACGCAGACAGGUCGGGCACAAAUGGCCCGCAGGAAAAUGGAUGUUCGAAAGACGAUGGCCGUGCCGCAGAAAGUGAACGAGUGCCCCGCACAAAUAAUGAGGGUGGACCCUGUUUGCGUCACACCUGACCAGUGCAAAACCGAUUCAGAUUGUGGCAAAGGGGAGCUCUGCUGCAAUUCACCAUGUGCAAGAUAUUGCAAAGGUCCUGGAUUUCCCGGAUAACACGACCGAUGGCAAUCAUUUGCUUUUCAUAAUCGGAAUAAGAGAAGUGAAAUUGUUUCCUAGUUCUUCAUAAAGAACAGCAUUAAUGUUGUUAUUAGCACUUAAGUAUAUGUUGAACUCGACAUAUAUAUUACUGAAUUAUGUAAACAUCACGUAUAUCAAUAUUGUACUUUUCCCUAAAAACAACAUUGUCUUCGUAAAAUUAUUAAUUUUUAAAAUAGCUAACGCCUGUAAUAAAAACAAAACGACUAGAAUGAGCAGUCGUAUUCAUUAUUGUGAGCGAAGAUCACAUUUUAUCUUCGUUUUUACGUCACUGAUUAAUUUUCAGUACAAACAUUCGAUGACUAGUUGCUUUUUUGGAAUCAUAUCCUUGUCCGUUACACGAUCGGGGAAUAUAUUUAAACGUCAUUUUUAAAACAAUGACCCAUGUCUUUAUCGUAAUCAGACGCGGAUAAAAAAUCAUAAAAUA